GGGGAUUUCUUUUUAAGAAAAAGUAAUCUGAGCUACCAAUGCAAAUUGAAAACUCUGAAACACACAUCUGCACACUCUGUGUAUGAGCAGUGUAAUAUAUAGUAAUUUAGAGAUAUGGUAAUAUACUUACAACAAAAGACAUACCCAUCAAUGUCACCCUUGAAAAAAACAUGUUGCUUCUGUUGAUCUAAAACCAGUCACCAAUCCAGAACAAUUUCAAUUUUGC